AGAGUUUGAUCCUGGCUCAGAGCGAACGCUGGCGGCGUGGUUGAGACAUGCAAGUCGAACGGAUUUACUCGGCCGCAAGGUUGGGUAAACUAGUGGCGAAAGGGAGAGUACAAAACAGGUAACGUACCUCGGACACUGGAAUAGCCCACCGAAAGGUGGAUUAAUGCCAGGUAACACUUCUUCCCUCCUGGGGAGAAGCCAUUGGGUGGGGACCCCUUCGGGGGCCUGCCGGUCUGAGAGCGACCUGUUUCCUAUCAGCUAGUUGGUGAGGUAAUGGCUCACCAAGGCGAUGACGGGUAGCCGGCCUUAGCGGGUGUCCGGCCUCACUGGGACUGAGACACUGCCCAGAGCCCUACGGGGUGCAGCAGUCUCGAAUCAUCCGCAAUGCCCGAAAGGGUGACGGUGCGACGCCGCGUGCGGGAGGAAGCCCUUCGGGGUGUAAACCGCUUUUCAGGGGCAUGAAGUCGGGUGCGUGAAUAGCGCAUACCGGCAGACCUAAACCCUGGAAUAAGCCACGGCUAACUUCGUGCCAGCAGCCGCGGUAAGACGAAGGUGGCGAGCGUUGCUCGGAAUCACUGGGCUUAAAGCGGGCGUAGGCGGCUCAGCAAGUCGGAUGUGAAAACCCUUGGCUCAACCAAGGAACUGCACCCGAUACUACUGAGCUUGAGGUGUCUAGGGGCGACUGGAACUCUCGGUGGAGCGGUGAAAUGCGUAGAUAUCGAGAGGAACGCCAAUGGUGAAGACAGGUCGCUAGGGACAUCCUGACGCUGAGGCCCGAAAGCUAGGGGAGCAAACGGGAUUAGAUACCCCGGUAGUCCUAGCCCUAAACGAUGCACACUAGAUGGGGGAGACUCUGACAGUCAUCCCUGUCGCAGCGAAAGCGUUAAGUGUGCCGCCUGGGAAGUACGGUCGCAAGGCUAAAACUCAAAGGAAUUGACGGGGGCUCACACAAGCGGUGGAGCAUGUGGCUCAAUUCGAGGCAACGCGAAGAACCUUAUCCUGGGCUUGACAUGCAUGUAGUAGGAGGCCGAAAGGCUAACGAUAGGUUCAGUCCUAAGCAUGCACAGGUGCUGCAUGGCUGUCGUCAGCUCGUGCUGUGAAGUGUCGGGUUAAGUCCCUUAACGAGCGAAACCCUUACCCUUAGUUGCCAGCGGGUCAUGCCGGGGCCUCUAAGGGGACUGCCACGGUGAACGUGGAGGAAGGUGGGGAUGACGUCAAGUCCUCAUGGCCUUCAUGCCCAGGGCUGCACACGUGCUACAAUGACGGCUACAGAGGGAAGCGAGGCCGCAAGGCGGAGCCAAUCCCUUAAAAGCCGCCUCAGUUCGGAUUGUAGGCUGCAACCCGCCUACAUGAAGUUGGAAUCGCUAGUAAUCGCGGAUCAGCUAUGCCGCGGUGAAUGUGUUCCUGAGCCUUGUACACACCGCCCGUCAAGCCACCGAAGCCGGAAGUACCCGAAGUCGCCGACUGAACCCGC
rnacentral:rRNA from 1 species